rnacentral:misc_RNA from 1 species
UCCGGUUUAUCACCGGCAGUCCCCCAUGAGUCCCCGGCAUUACCCGCUGGCAACAUAGGGCAAGGGUUGCGCUCGUUGCGGGACUUAACCCAACAUCUCACAACACGAGCUGACGACAGCCAUGCACCACCUAUCACGGGCCCCGAAGGACACCGUAUUUCUACGGCUUUUCCCGCAUAGUUCAACCCAGGUAAGGUUCUUCGCGUUGCAUCGAAUUGAGCCACAUGCUCCGCCGCUUGUGCGGGCCCCCGUCAAUUCCUCUGAGUUUUAGCCUUGCGGCCGUACUCCCCAGGCGGGGCGCUUAAUGCGUUAGCUACGGCACGGAAUCCGUGGAAAGGACCCCACACCUAGCGCCCAACGUUUACGGUGUGGACUAC